GAAGCUGGAGCUUGCUCCGGCCGAUUAGUGGCGAACGGGUGAGUAACACGUGAGCAAUCUGCCCUUGACUCUGGGAUAACUGCGGGAAACUGUAGCUAAUACCGGAUACUUUCCUCGCUGGGCAUCCAGCGGGGAAGAAAGAAUUUCGGUCAAGGAUGAGCUCGCGGCCUAUCAGCUAGUUGGUGAGGUAAAGGCUCACCAAGGCGACGACGGGUAGCCGGCCUGAGAGGGUGACCGGCCACACUGGAACUGAGACACGGUCCAGACUCCUACGGGAGGCAGCAGUGGGGAAUAUUGCACAAUGGGCGAAAGCCUGAUGCAGCAACGCCGCGUGAGGGAUGAAGGCCUUCGGGUUGUAAACCUCUUUUAGCAGGGAAGAAGCGAAAGUGACGGUACCUGCAGAAAAAGCACCGGCUAACUACGUGCCAGCAGCCGCGGUAAUACGUAGGGUGCAAGCGUUGUCCGGAAUUAUUGGGCGUAAAGAGCUCGUAGGCGGUUUGUCACGUCUGCUGUGAAAAUCCGAGGCUCAACCUCGGACUUGCAGUGGGUACGGGCAGGCUAGAGUGCGGUAGGGGAGAAGGGAAUUCCUGGUGUAGCGGUGGAAUGCGCAGAUAUCAGGAGGAACACCAAUGGCGAAGGCACUUCUCUGGGCCGUAACUGACGCUGAG
rnacentral:rRNA from 1 species